CACCCAGGCGCCCCAAAAAUGUUUAUUUUAAAGAAUUACAUUCCCAGGAAAUUUCCUUAAAAUGUUUUCUUCAUUAAGUUAUUUGGGUCUUUGACCAUUAGCUUUCAAUGUGAAUUACUGUAAUUAUGCAUUUGUUACUGCUGAAGCAUUGGUACAUGUUGUCCAUGUUGGGGUUUUAUGUUUGUGUUUUCACUUUUUUUUUUUUUUUUUUGGAAAUAAUUAUAGAUUCACAUGGAGUUGCAAGGAGAGUACAGAGAGGUUCCCCACCAGCUUUCCCUAUAUGGCUACAUCUUACAUAAUUAUAGUAUAGUACCAAAACCAGGAAUAUGACAUUGAUUCUGGGAUAUGAUCACUGCCUGAAAAGAAUUUAGAACUAUUUCCCCUUUGAAUACCUUAGAGUAUUUCAAGUAACAUUGGACUCCUGUUGUCUUUAAGUCUUGGCAGAACUUUGUGAAGCCAUCUGGGAAACCAUGCACAUAAAUUUGAAAACCUGAAUAAAAAUGGAACUAUUUCUAAGCAUACUUUACAAAA